rnacentral:pre_miRNA from 15 species
ACACCGAAGCUGCCGUGGUCUAGUGCUAUGUGGAAGACUAGUGAUUUUGUUGUUCUGAUGUACUAUGACAACAAAUCACAGCCGGCCUCACAGCGUGGACCCCUGUCGACCUCCUCCCGA